rnacentral:rRNA from 1 species
UACGUAGGGGGGCAAGCGUUGUCCGGAUUUAUUGGGCGUAAAGAGCGUGUAGGCGGCCUGACAGGUCUGCUGUGAAAACUCGAGGCUCAACCUCGAGAUGUCGGCGGAAACCGUCUGGCUAGAGUCCGGAAGAGGAGAGUGGAAUUCCUGGUGUAGCGGUGAAAUGCGCAGAUAUCAGGAGGAACACCAACGGCGAAGGCAGCUCUCUGGGACGUUACUGACGCUGAGACGCGAAAAGCGUGGGGGAGCAAACAAG